rnacentral:ncRNA from 1 species
CAACCUCAACUCAUAUGGGACUACCCCCUGAAUUUAAGCAUAUUAGUUAGGGGAGGAAAAGAAACUAACAAGGAUUUUCUUAGUAGCGGCGAGCGAAAAGAAAAUAGUCAGCACUAAG